CGGGCGGGAGGGGGACCCUGAGGGUGGGGGCACCCUCAGGGCACUAUAGUGCCAGGAAAACGAGUAUGUUUUCCUGGCACUAUAGUGGUCCUUUAAGAGCUUUUGUGGGAAACUCCCACCCUACCUGAGCAGAAUGCGCUCCACGGCAAAUCUUCCCCAAGCCUAAAAUCCUUUAAGAGAUCCCUCUCUACAUAUCUCAAAACAGAAUGCACAAGUAAUGCUUGAUUAUAUAUUUCCUACCUGUUCUAUGUUAAAUUUGGAUAUAUUGUGUAUUAAUUUUGUUUUUGUAUUUUAUUGUACCAUAUUGUAUCAAUGCAAUGUUUUGUGGACCUAGGACAUACUUGAAAAC